rnacentral:rRNA from 1 species
AACGAACGCUGGCGGCAGGCUUAACACACGCAAGUCGAGCGCCCCGCAAGGGGAGCGGCAGACGGGUGAGCAACGCGUGGGAAUCUACCCAUCUCUACGGAAUAACGCAUGGAAACGUGUGCUAAUACCGUAUACGUCCUUCGGGAGAAAGAUUUAUCGGAGAUGGAUGAGCCCGCGUUGGAUUAGCUAGUUGGUGGGGUAAAGGCCUACCAAGGCGACGAUCCAUAGCUGGUCUGAGAGGAUGAUCAGCCACACUGGGACUGAGACACGGCCCAGACUCCUACGGGAGGCAGCAGUGGGGAAUAUUGGACAAUGGGCGCAAGCCUGAUCCAGCCAUGCCGCGUGAGUGAUGAAGGCCCUAGGGUUGUAAAGCUCUUUCACCGGUGAAGAUAAUGACGGUAACCGGAGAAGAAGCCCCGGCUAACUUCGUGCCAGCAGCCGCAGUAACAC